AUACGUAGGGAGCGAGCGUUGUCCGGAAUUACUGGGCGUAAAGGGCGCGUAGGCGGCGCUUCAAGUCGUCUGUGAAAUGGGAGGGCUUAACCCUUUUUCGCAGACGAAACUGGAGAGCUUGAGAAGCAGGGGGGCAAACAGAAUUCCUGGUGUAGCGGUGAAAUGCGUAGAUAUCAGGAAGAAUACCAGUGGCGAAGGCGGUUUGCUGGCUGCAUACUGACGCUGAAGCGCGAAAGCCAGGGGAGCAAACGGGAUUAGAUACCCCGGUAGUCCUGGCAGUAAACGAUGUAUGCUGGGUGUGAGACUAGCGAUAGUUUCGUGCCGAAGUUAACGCGAUAAGCAUACCGCCUGGGGAGUACGGUCGCAAGAUUGAAACUCAAAUGAAUUGGCGGGG
rnacentral:rRNA from 1 species